rnacentral:rRNA from 1 species
AGGAUGAACGCUGGCGGCGUGCCUAAUACAUGCAAGUCGAACGAGUCCUUCGGGACGAGUGGCGGACGGGUGAGUAACACGUUGGUACCUACCCCGAAGUGGGGAAUAACUGCCCGAAAGGGUGGCUAAUACCGCAUAAUACCGCAAGGUUAAAGCAGUAAUGCGCUUCGGGAGGGGCCUGCGUCCCAUUAGCUAGUUGGUAGGGUAAUGGCCUACCAAGGCGACGAUGGGUAGCUGGAUCGAGAGGUUGACCAGCCACACUGGGACUGAGAUACGGCCCAGACUCCUACGGGAGGCAGCAGUAAGGAAUCUUCCACAAUGGACGAAAGUCUGAUGGAGCAACGCCGCGUGCAGGAUGACGGUCUUCGGAUUGUAAACUGCUUUUAUAUGGGAAGAUUAUGACGGUACCAUAUGAAUAAGGACCGGCUAACUACGUAGCCAGCAGCCGC